UAAAAAUGGCGCUAAUCCACUCUCCUUCUUCUCUUAUCCAGAAAUCCUAUUAUCAUCUUUUCUACGCUCCUCUCCUUCUCUCUCGAACCAAAUCCAAACUCAGAAUCCGAUCCCAAAAACCCACCAACGACUCUGCCACACCCAAGAAAUCCACCCCGCCUGGGCUAGGGUUUGGGUCCUCUUCUCCUGCAGCUUCAACCAAGUCAAGUCCAACUAAGGCAG
rnacentral:misc_RNA from 1 species